UACGUAGGGUGCGAGCGUUAAUCGGAAUUACUGGGCGUAAAGGGCGCGUAGGUGGUAGCGUAAGUGAGCUGUGAAAUCCCCGGGCUUAACCUGGGAAUGGCGGCUUAUACUGCGUAACUGGAGUGCGGUAGAGGGUAGUGGAAUUUCCGGUGUAGCGGUGAAAUGCGUAGAUAUCGGAAGGAACACCAGUGGCGAAGGCGGCUACCUGGACUGACACUGACACUGAGGCGCGAGAGCGUGGGGAGCAAACAGG
rnacentral:rRNA from 1 species